rnacentral:rRNA from 1 species
UACGUAGGUCCCGAGCGUUGUCCGGAUUUAUUGGGCGUAAAGCGAGCGCAGGUGGUUUAUUAAGUCUGGUGUAAAAGGCAGUGGCUCAACCAUUGUAUGCAUUGGAGACUGGUAGACUUGAGUGCAGGAGAGGAGAGUGGAAUUCCAUGUGUAGCGGUGAAAUGCGUAGAUAUAUGGAGGAACACCGGUGGCGAAAGCGGCUCUCUGGCCUGUAACUGACACUGAGGCUCGAAAGCGUGGGGAGCAAACAGG